rnacentral:rRNA from 1 species
UACGAAGGGGGGCUAGCGUUGCUCGGAAUCACUGGGCGUAAAGGGUGCGUAGGCGGGUCUUUAAGUCAGACGUGAAAUCCCUCGGCUCAACCGGGGAACUGCGUCUGAGACUGGAAGGCUUGAAUUCGGGAGAGGGAUGUGGAAUUCCAGGUGUAGCGGUGAAAUGCGUAGAUAUCUGGAGGAACACCGGUGGCGAAGGCGGCAUCCUGGACCGAUAUUGACGCUGAUGCGCGAAAGCCAGGGGAGCAAACGGG